AGAAUGGCAAAUGAAAAUCACCUGUAAUUGCUGAUGAAGAACCAAAUGUUCCUAUGUGGAACCCUGGGUUGUUAAAAACUCCUUCAAAUGUGUUACUGCUGUUUUAUAGAAUAGGCCUUGAUGUUCAAAAGUUAGUGUUGAGCAUCAUAGUCAGCCCUUAACAUGAUUUUGAUAUCUGCAAGAAAUAGCAACUCAACAGGUAUUGUCAUUGUAGUGAUUUAAUGCUUGAUUAACUACGAAUAUGCCAUCAAUGGUCAUGUUUGAAUCUAACCAUUAUUUCUUUAAAAGGGAAGAAGCACUGAAAAAAAGGCGCUCGCAUUAACGAAGUCGAGUUAAUAAUUCAUUUAUUUCUUUAAUUAAGUGUCGAAAUUCAAAUUUUAUUUUUGUAUAAUUUAAAUUUGAAACAGAAUUUUUUGUCUGAAUAUAUUGUCAGGACAUGCAUUUAUCGCAAGAAAACUCGGCAUGGAUCUUCAGCAUUCAUGGAAAAGGAGAUACCUUUUACAGGAAUAUUAAGCAAUAAGGCUAAACAAAAUCCAGGAUUCCAUUCAAUUAAACUACUUUGAUUGCUGCUCCCUUUGUGUUUUUCUGUUCUUCUACCUAUAGAGUUAACCAUCUCGUUUGACUUCUUGUUCGUUUGUGAUUGUAGAUUUUUUCAACUGGAACAGAGUGAAAUUUUGUUAUUGUGAUGGUGCCUCUUUUGAUAGGGACAGUGAACAUAAGGUAGAGUUUGAAUCUCAGAGACAACACAUUGGUAACGACAUUCAUAGAAUAAGGGUUACCACACAAAACUAAGUGAAUGUUGUCUACUGAGAUAGGCUGGACGUCUACAAUUCCGAGGACAGCGCAUUUGGAUGGCUGCAAUGGAGGAUCUGAUGUCGAAAGGAAUGCAUUUUGUCAAAAGUGAAGUGUCUCAGUGAUGCUGGGCUAUUUCUUGAUGCGCCUGGUGUGUGGGGAAAUGAAGGUGUGGUCAAGUGCAGUAAUCCAUAUUCUUAUAAACUCGUAAAACUCAUUUGAGAUGAACCAACAAGUUCAAGCUGAAGUAGCAAUGCUUUCUGAAACG